rnacentral:rRNA from 1 species
AUGUAUCUCAAGCUGAAGAAUCGGCGAUGGAUGUACGGUCCCCGACUCUCCGGCGAGUUCACUACGGGUUUGAAAGAUUUCCUCGUAGUGGCAAAUGCGAACAAGCAGCGAGGUUUUAUUAUCUGUCCAUGUGCUGUCUGUAAGAAUCAGAAGUGUUACUCCUCCUCAAGAGACGUUCACAUGCACCUGCUUCGGCACGGUUUCAUGCGAAGCUAUAAUUGUUGGACCAAGCAUGAAGAAAGAGGGGUUAGAAUGAAAGAAGAUGAAGAAGGGGAUGAUAUCGAUGACAACUAUCAUGAUCAUUUCGGGGAUACUUUCAUGGAGGAUGAUGCUGAAGGUGGGGAAGGGUUAGGUAAAGGUGAAGAAGAGGCACAUGAUGAGCCCGCUGAUGAUCUUGGUCGGACCAUUGCUGAUGCACGGAGACGCUGCGAAACUGACAAGGAGAGGGAGAAUUUGGAUCGCAUGUUAGAGGAUCACAAAAAGUCGUUGUACCCAGGAUGCGAUAAUAGUCUGAAAAAGCUGGGCUGCACACUGGAUUUGCUAAAAUGGAAGGCACAGGAAGGUGUAGGUGACUCAUCAUUUGAAAAUUUGCUGAAAAUAUUGAAGAAUAUGUUUCCGAAGAAUAACGAGUUGCCCGCCAGUACGUACGAAGCAAAGAAGGUUGUCUGCCCUCUAGGUUUAGAGGUUCUGAAGAUACAUGCAUGCAUUAAUGACUGUAUCCUCUACCGCGGUGAAUACGAGAAUUUGAAUGAAUGCCCUGUAUGCACUGCAUUGCGUUAUAAGAUCAGAGGCGAUGACCCUGGUGACGAUGUUGAGGGCGAGAAACCCCGGAAGAGGGUUCCCGCCAAGGUGAUGUGGUAUGCUCCUAUAAUACCACGGUUGAAACGUCUGUUCAUGAACAAAAAGCAUGCCAAGUCGUUGCGAUGGCACAAAGAGGACCGUAAGUCCGACGGGGAGUUGAGACACCCCGCUGAUGGAACGCAAUGGAGAAAGAUCGACAGAGUGUUCAAAGAUUUUGCAGCUGACGCAAGGAACAGAAGAUUUGGUCUAAGUACUGAUGGCAUGAAUCCUUUUGGCGAGCAGAGCUCCAGCCAUAGCACCUGGCCCGUGACUCUAUGCAUCUACAACCUUCCUCCUUGGUUGUGCAUGAAGCGGAAGUUCAUUAUGAUGCCAGUGCUCAUCCAAGGUCCAAAGCAACCCGGGAACGACAUCGAUGUGUACCUAAGGCCAUUAGUUGAUGAACUUUUACAGUUGUGGGCCAGACCUGGUGUACGUGUCUGGGAUGAGCACAAAGGAGAGGAAUUUGACCUACGAGCGUUGCUUUUUGUAACCAUCAACGAUUGGCCUGCUCUCAGUAACCUUUCGGGACAGACAAAUAAGGGAUACAAUGCAUGCACGCACUGCUUACAUGAGACUGAAAGUGUACGUUUGGUUAAUUGUAAGAAGAACGUGUACCUGGGUCAUCGUCGAUUUCUUCCCCGAAAUCAUAACGUAAGAAAGAAAGGCAAGCAUUUCAACGGCAAGGCAGAUCACCGGCCGAAGCCUGCGGAACGUACUGGUGCUGAGAUAUUUGAUAUGGUCAAGGAUUUGAAAGUCAUCUUUGGAAAGGGUCUUGGCGGACAAUCAGUUCCGCGGGGAGUUGACGGGCACGCACCCAUGUGGAAGAAGAAAUCUAUAUUUUGGGAGCUAGAAUAUUGGAAAGUCCUAGAUGUCCGCUCUGCAAUCGACGUGAUGCAUGUUAUGAAGAAUAUUUGCGUGAACCUGCUAAGCUUCUUGGGCGUGUAUGGGAAGACAAAUGAUACAAAGGAAGCACGGCAGGACCAACAACUUUUGAAAGACCCAGAUGACCGGCAUCCGGAAUUGUUUCAAGGUCGUGCCAGCUAUGCUCUUACCAAAGAAGAGAAGGUCAUUUUUUUGAAUGCCUGA